CACGUAGGAGGCGAGCGUUAUCCGGAAUGAUUGGGCGUAAAGCGUCCGCAGGUGGCAGUUCAAGUCUGCUGUCAAAGACCGGGGCUUAACUUCGGAAAGGCAGUGGAAACUGAACAGCUAGAGUAUGGUAGGGGCAGAGGGAAUUCCUGGUGUAGCGGUGAAAUGCGUAGAGAUCAGGAAGAACAUCGGUGGCGAAGGCGCUCUGCUGGGACCAUAACUGACACUCAGGGACGAAAGCUAGGGGAGCGAAUGGG
rnacentral:rRNA from 1 species